rnacentral:rRNA from 1 species
AACGAACGCUGGCGGCAUGCCUAACACAUGCAAGUCGAACGAAGCCUUCGGGCUUAGUGGCGCACGGGUGCGUAACGCGUGGGAAUCUGCCCUUUGGUUCGGAAUAACAGUUGGAAACGACCGCUAAUACCGGAUGAUGACGAAAGUCCAAAGAUUUAUCGCCAGAGGAUGAGCCCGCGUAGGAUUAGCUAGUUGGUGUGGUAAAGGCGCACCAAGGCGACGAUCCUUAGCUGGUCUGAGAGGAUGAUCAGCCACACUGGGACUGAGACACGGCCCAGACUCCUACGGGAGGCAGCAGUGGGGAAUAUUGGACAAUGGGCGAAAGCCUGAUCCAGCAAUGCCGCGUGAGUGAUGAAGGCCUUAGGGUUGUAGAGCUCUUUUACCCGGGAUGAUAAUGACAGUACCGGGAGAAUAAGCUCCGGCUAACUCCGUGCCAGCCGCCGCCGUAA